GAUGAACGCUAGCUACAGGCUUAACACAUGCAAGUCGAGGGGAAACGAUGAGAGAGCUUGCUCUCUUAGGCGUCGACCGGCGCACGGGUGAGUAACGCGUAUCCAACCUACCCAUUACAGGGGGAUAACCUUGCGAAAGUAAGACUAAUACCCCAUGGCAUUUUAUGGUGGCAUCAUUAUAGGAUUAAAGAUUUAUUGGUAAUGGAUGGGGAUGCGUCUGAUUAGCUUGUUGGCGGGGUAACGGCCCACCAAGGCAACGAUCAGUAGGGGUUCUGAGAGGAAGGUCCCCCACAUGGGAACUGAGACACGGUCCAAACUCCUACGGGAGGCAGCAGUGAGGAAUAGUGGUCAAUGGGCGAGAGCUUGAACCAGCCAAGUAGCGUGCAGGAUGACGGCCCUAUGGGUUGUAAACUGCUUUUAUAGGGGAAUAAAGUGAGCUACGUGUAGUUUAUUGCAUGUACCCUAUGAAUAAGGACCGGCUAAUUCCGUG
rnacentral:rRNA from 1 species